AGGCAGCAGUGGGGAAUUUUGCGCAAUGGGGGAAACCCUGACGCAGCAACGCCGCGUGAGUGAUGAAGGCUUUCGGGUCGUAAAGCUCUGUCAGAGGGGAAGAAACUACUGUGGUCGAAUAGGUCGCGGUACUGACGGUACCCUCAAAGGAAGCACCGGCUAACUCCGUGCCAGCAGCCGCGGUAAUACGGAGGGUGCAAGCGUUGUUCGGAAUUAUUGGGCGUAAAGCGCGUGUAGGCGGUCUGUUAAGUCUGAUGUGAAAGCCCCGGGCUCAACCCGGGAAGUGCAUUGGAUACUGGCAGACUUGAGUACGGGAGAGGGAAGUGGAAUUCCGAGUGUAGGGGUGAAAUCCGUAGAUAUUCGGAGGAACACCGGUGGCGAAGGCGGCUUCCUGGACCGAUACUGACGCUGAGACGCGAAAGCGUGGGGAGCAAACAGGAUUAGAUACCCUGGUAGUCCACGCCGUAAACGAUGGGUACUAGGUGUCGCGGGUAUUGACCCCUGCG
rnacentral:rRNA from 1 species